GGGAUGAGUACUCUGUGAAGCCAUUCUUUUGACCGGUGCUGUCUCUGCUCCCCUAGGAUCACAGGAAUGGAGAUUGCUCUCUUAAGAUUCUGGAAGUGUGGGAAAGAGCUGGGAGAGGAAGAGUAGAAAGCAUCCUCAGCAGACUAUGUGCGGUAAAAGAAGGCCUGGCCCUGAAAUCAGAGGGAAAGCUGCCUGACAAUGUGCUCAUGGAUCUUGCACCGGGGGAUCUUAUGUGCUUUAACCUCUUCCUAAAGGCUCCCAGAGAAGCUCUGCUUUCAUUUGCCAGACCCUCUGCUGCUACAAACUCCUAAAGCUUUUGUGAUUUUCAUGAGGAUUUGACAAGUCACACCAGCCAUGGGUUUGUGGUGCAGAAGCCCUAGGACUUCUGCUGGAUUGUACGCUCAGAGAUGCACAGGAUCUUGAGGGGUCUCCACAUAAUGCUCUUUCAGAGUCAGAUGGUCCCUGUGAAGAUUACUGCUUCUGUCAGAAAAGAAGAGGUAACAGGGUGACUGGGAUACAGGGAUACAGAACCAGUAUCUCUGUUCAAAUGAUAUCAAGGCCCUACACGUGGUUGAUUUGUCCUGGAUGAAAAGGUCCAAACCCAUAAGCUUUUGUGCCAUUGUUGAAAAUGCAAAGCCGUAUUAAUGAAACGUGUUGGAUUAACUUAUUUUUAUUAGAUUUUCCAGAUCAGUUUUUUUAAAAUAAUAAAUCGCAGCAUCAUGGCGGAAGACAGAAGUCACAUAACACGAGAGCUAGCUGAGAGAAAAGAGGACCAAUUUGUUUGAGGAAGAGGACUGCAAUGAUUUGGCAUUCUAAGGGAUUC